ensembl:lncRNA
AAAACAGACAAGAAUCUCUGUUAACUUGUCAACAGCGAUUUGGUGAGGAGUGCAGGGAGGCGAUAUCUACAAUACGACAUUUCACUGAUGAGAAGAUGAGCGACUUUCCAGUAUUGACCGAAGAUGGUCGGUGAGGAUGCAUCAUCUUCAGUCCUGGAUUUGUUCACUUGUUUCCUUGCUGUAUCUGGAUUGAUCGACCACGAUUUCUCCAUGAUGUUUGGUGACAAAGUGUCUCAGAAGUUCCUGGCAAUGUGGUCAAUAUUCUUCAAGCCAAAAAUCAUUGCAGACUGCAAGACUCUUAAGAAUAUGGGCGAGCUGCUGUCAGGAACUGAACCUGAAUCUGAGGACUACAAUGCGACAUGUCCUCAAUCCUUUUGCAGCUGCAUCUGCUCCCUCUAACCUCAAGAGGCCAGAAAAAAAUAUCCAAGAUCAGUUCAGCUCAAGCAACCAGCCAUCUUGUGAGCUGUCUUAAGGAAGGAGCCAGUGUGAAUACCUUCAUUGAGAGUGCUGACACAAGACAACCAUUUCUCCUCUGCAUCGGAAGCUGCCUUAAUCAUGAUGUACCCAGGCUACGCAGGCAGGACCGAGCUCCGGGACAACCUGGAGGCCGCUUCAGAUCCGUCUACAUGAUUGUGCCCGACCACGCCGUCAUCG